AAAUAAACCUUAUUGCAGCGGUUAUCCUUUUUGGCACACAAACAAGAAUGUUUCCACUAAGCUCUCACAAAAAGAUAAUAGCGGAAAGAAGGACUGCCC
rnacentral:sRNA from 1 species